UACGAAGGGGGCUAGCGUUGUUCGGAAUUACUGGGCGUAAAGCGUAUGCAGGCGGACUUUUAAGUCGGGGGUGAAAUCCCGAGGCUCAACCUCGGAACUGCCUUCGAUACUGGAAGUCUUGAGUCCGGGAGAGGUGAGUGGAACUCCGAGUGUAGAGGUGAAAUUCGUAGAUAUUCGGAAGAACACCAGUGGCGAAGGCGGCUCACUGGCCCGAUACUGACGCUGAGGCACGAAAGCGUGGGGAGCAAACAGG
rnacentral:rRNA from 1 species